UACACUUUGUGGUGUGAGUACAUUGAAACAUUAUAUUGAACAUUUUUGCUUUUGUAUUUUUUACUUGUUACAAAUGGUGCAGCUUUUCAUAUUUGACAAUGUACAAAAUAUAUAUUUGUGACAGAGCUGAAUAUUUACCGCAAACAUCCAAAGAAAGAUGACAAAUAGAUUAUUAGUGUAAUUCUUAGUUUUAUCUGAAUCUUUGCAUUGAGUCUGGUGAGAUUUAUGCUUUCUUCUUGUGCAUUGUGUGUUAGGAUCACAGAGAUGUGGGAUGUGUGUGUGUGUGUGUGUGUGUGUCCUCCUUGGGAAUAAUAUGAAUUUCAUGGUGGCUGGAUGCUUUUAGAGGAGUGACCCGUCCUAAAGUAGGCUAGUAGUGCAAUGCCUCCAGCAUGGGCCGACCACUCAAUGUGUGUGUGUGUGUGUGUGUGUGUGUGUGUGUGUGUGUGUGUGUGUGUGUGUGUGUGCGCGCGUAAAAUGGUAGUCAAGGCAUUUCCCUUCUUCCUUUGUCUGCUGCUGUGACUGACACACAAGCACACACACCUACAUGUGACAUCACGACAGCUGUUGGAGUCGAUCAGAUGGACCUGGAUGGACUGUGAAAGUGUUAGAAGGGUUCCCUUCUGUGACAGCUUCCAGCAAAUAAAGUGCAGGCAUGAGUACAAUAGACAGAAGUAUAUCUGUCAAAUACAGGACAGACCGUAAUAUGAAUAUAAGGUUCAUCUCACAAAUGUGAUAAAACGAAGAAAAAGCUCCAUUAAAGUAAAGUACCAGAGUGAACGCAGCUUAUUUCCACCAGCGACACACAACUCAUUCACCAAUGGAAGACAUUGUCCUGAAGUGCUUUAUGGGUAAUUAACUCACCCCACCCUCCCCCAUCACCCUGUGUGACUCCCCCGUCACUAUUGUGGAUUUCUUCCGUCUCCUGGGCUCCAUCAUCACCCAGGACCUCAAGUGGGAGCUGAACAUCAGCUCCAUCACCAAGAAGGCUCAGCAGAGGUUGUUCUUCCUGAGGCAGCUGAAGAAACUCAACCUGCCAAAGACGAUGAUGGUCCACUUCUACACGGCCAUCAUGGAGUCCAUCCUCUGCUCCUCCAUCAGCGUCUGGUACGCUGCAGCCACAGCCAAGGACAAGGGCAGGCUGCAGCGUGUCAUCCGCUCUGCAGAGAGGCUGAUCGGCUGCAAUCUCAUUUUAAACAUGUUUAACUUUAACGUUUAUUCCUUUAUUUUAAACUAACCCAUAGCUUCACACUACUAACCCAUAGCCUUACACUACUAACCCAUUAUUUUAUUCCUUGUGCACUGCUGUCUUGUCGUCCAUUGUCGUACUGUCUGCUGUUACGCUCCAACCGCCAAGUCACAUUCCUUGUAUGUCUGAUAUUAUGGCGAUAAAUGUUUCCUGAUUCCUGAUCAAAAGAUACAAUAUUUAUAUAAACAUAUUCAUCAAUAUCAGCUUUAUUUGUUAAAUACGUGUAUUAAUAUAAUUUACUGUACUUACUACAGAAAUAUAAAACAGUGGAAUGCUUAAAAAUGACAUUAUAAAUAUUUUUGUCUUCUAUAGAUCCGAUUGGCUGGAUCAUUAUUAUCACCUUCAGACCACUAGAUGGAGAUAAAGACCUGAGGAUCAUCCAGAGCAGCUGAUAGAAGAGCACCUACACACACACACACACACACACACACACACACACACACACACACACACACAUACACACACACACACACACACACACACACACAUUUACACACAUGGCCAGUAAACAUGAGUAGAUAUUUUGAUACUGUAAUGUGAACCUCUCCGUCUCUACUCACCAUCUGCCACACACACACACACACACACACACAAACACGCGUGCACGCACACACACACACACCCGUGCACGCACACACACACACAUGCCCCCCCCCCCCACACGCAUACACACUUUUCAUUUUUCCAUCCCUUGUCUCCAGUUCCCUCCUUCUGUCUCUCCUCACCGUCUCACUUUCUCUGUCUCUCACACACACACACACACACACACACCAACACACACACACACACACACACAGACACACACACAGACACACACCUACGGUGCCUGACACAGUAGCAUCUGGCGUCUUUCUGCUGCCGUCUUUCUGCUGCCGCCUCCCUCCUGAGACUCCUAUGAUGCGUCCUCCUCUGAACUUGCAGCUUCUCACCUGCAGAGCUCGUGUGAUCCACCUGCUUUUUAUUAAAAGGCUUAUUUUGUCAUUCAGCUAAACCUUGAAUUUAUGCCAGAAUUGAAACUUUAAAACGUCUUUCAUCCGCUGCUGAAAACUUCCAUUUUAUUUUAGCUGAUGGAAUAAGGAACAAAAAUACAAUCUUCUUACCACACUUUAAGUUUAUGGAAAGCUCGAAAUGAAUGUUUUUUCACUGUAACCCAGGUCAAAAAAAGAGGUGAAGACAGAAAAUACUGACUAAUAAUCAUAACGAAGCUCCAUAACAUCUGGUGGAGACUAACGUCGUGUGUGACGACCCUAAGCUACCCAAGCUAAGCUCAAAGAACCGAUUCUUUAAUAUUUUAAUGUGCAUGUGACGAGGCCCUGCGAUUGGCGGGCGACCGAUCCGACGUGGACCCCGUCUCUCGCCCGGAGUGACCCCGGCCCCCCGGCGACCCUGUAUGAAGGAUAAGACGAGCCUGCAUUGUUUUCUGCCUUUGGUAAGACUUGUUUUCACCCACAUGUUGGAUGUCUGGAGGAACUUUUUUUGCCAUUUUUUUUUUCUCAAGGGGCCGGACUUAACAAAGGGCCCAUGAGCACAAAAAGUGCAGGAUCAUCUCGUCAAGUAGCAAGCAUCGCCUCUUGAGGUGCAGUCAGUGUCCUGCCGCCUGUUGAAAUACGGCGACCUUUGACCCGGGGAACUCAGACCACAUCCCCACAUUGACGUCCGUCCCCCUGGAGGGAAACAUCCAACAUGGCAGCGUGCGCACAGAUCCUGGCCGUCCUACAAAGCGAAGCAAAGGAAGACGGGGAAGAGGGACGGAUGUGGAAAAGGGGGGAGUUCACACACACACACACACACACAGUGAGUACUGAUGAAAGAUACGCUGGAAAAAGCUGCAGAGAACAGAGCCCGACAGGUGGAAACCAUUAACCGCCGCAUGGAAAGUCAAACAGCACUGUGCGUGCAGGUGUGUGUGUGUCUGUGUGUGUGUGCAGAUGUGUGUGUGUGUGUGCAGGUCUGCGUGUGUCUGUGUGCGUGCAGGUGUGCGCGUGUCUGUUUGUACGUGCAGGUGUGUGUGUGUGCGUGCAGGUGUGCGUGUGUGUGUGUGCGUGCAAGUGUGUUUGUGUGUGCAGGUGUGUAUGGGUCUGUGUGUGUGUGCGUGCAGGUGUGUGUGUGUCUGUGCGUGCGUGCAGGUGUGCGUAUGUCUGUGUGCAUGCAGGUGUGUCUGUGUGUGUCUGUGUGUGCGUGCAGGUGUGUGUGUGUGCGUCUGUGUGUGCGUGCAGGUGACAAUCACAGGAAACCAUUUAAAGCUGACGUAUCACCUGAGACACUCUGUGCCCCCCCGCCGCAAUUCACAAAACUCCACCCACCGGCUGCACCCCGCAGCUCAAAACAAACCCCCCCUUUGAAGCUCUUUGUAUCUAAUUUAAUAUUGACAUUUUGUAAAAGAACAGUUUUUUUUGCGUAUUAAUCUCUUUAUCUUGAUUAAUGUGACAGAGGAGAAAGUUGUUGGUUCCGACGUCAUUUGGAGGGAAGUGAUGAAAUAAAGAAGCAGGAGGCCGUUCACACAGAUGAAAUCUGAGGGUCUUGAUGGAUUAAUGUCUCGCUGCGCAGAUAAUUCAACCAGGAUGUUUUCUGUCCCCGUUUUUGAUGAUUUUAAUGCGCCUCCGUGACAGCCGGCCUCGUCAUGCAGCGUUUACGAGAAGCAGCGAGAAGACGUUUUUAUAAAUUAGAGGGCGAGUCGCCCCCUGCUGGUCACUACAGGGAAUGCAUGAUACUUUGUUUUUGACCGACCAAGAAACACUUUCAGUGUAAAAUAUGAGUUGAUGAAUGAAAGAAUGUGAUGACUCAUUGGAAAUAACCCCGUGAGACUUCCUCAGUUUUCCUUCCCCCCCCCCCCGUCUGGGUGAUGGAUGACCUCCUCGGAGGGGCUUCCUGUGCCGUUUGGGAAGUCGUUAGGGCCGAGCUGGAUUCCUUUUUUUCGAACAUAUGUGUGAUUUGUGUGGCAUCGGCGGUCGGACUGGAUGACGGGGAGAAGGUGAAGUGAACUAGGAAGCAGCGCUGUGCUUCUUGGCUCAUUGGUCUGAUGGUAACGAUGGGAAAGGGAAAGAAAGUUGAUGACGGAGAUCUUAUCAGCUGGGAAAAACCAGACUCUCAGGGGUUGGUUUAGUUCCGUCAUUUUCUCUCCUUCUUUCUUCUCUCCAUUUCUUUUUCUCCCUCAUUCCUCCUCAUGUCGUCCUCCUUUCCUUCUCCCUUUUUCAUCUUUCAGAUUCGUCAUUUUCUCUUGUCUUUCUCUCCAUCGAUCCUCCGUCUUUCUCCCCUGAUUUCAUUCAUUCUGGCUCCUGUCUCGUUCCCUUCUUUGUCUGGCAUCCCUCCCUCAUUAUUCUCCCCCCCCGCCCCCCCAUC
ensembl:lncRNA